GCGCUGUUAGCUCAAUUGGAUAGAGCAUCUGACUUCGGAUCAGAAGGUUAGAGGUUCGAGUCCUCUACGGCGCA
rnacentral:tRNA from 1 species